rnacentral:sRNA from 1 species
UAGCGGCCGAAACAGCUGUGUCCUGUG